UAAAUAGAAGCAAAUGCAAAAGAAUGUUAAUCUUUUAUUAUCCAAAUUAUACUGGACUAUUUAG
rnacentral:tRNA from 1 species